rnacentral:lncRNA from 1 species
AUGUUAUUUCCUCAAAAACCUGUGUAUAUGUAUAUGUAAAAAUAUACAGGAUCUUAUUUUCAUAAAUAAUUUAAAUACUGUUUAUAAAAUAUGUACUGAAUUAUCUAUUAUCUAAAUGGAUGCUGAGAAGAGGAAACCUUUUUUCUGUACCAGCAAAUAUCAAAUUAUAGCAGAGUUAAUAACUCCUAUUAAUUUUAUAUAAUUGGAACAUUUUAUCUCUGUAAAGUUAGUGAGCAUUUCUUACUAAGACUUAUUUACCAGAUGAAGAUACUAUUGCACAAAACAAAAAUUUUCAAAUUUAUGUCAAUUCUUUUUGGUGUUGAAUUUUAAAAUUGUGCUAAGAAAUGUAAAUAAAACCAAAAGAAUUGCUAUUCAUGUUGUUCCAUCAGGUAUUGACUUGAUUUUUAAACUUGGAAGAGCAAUUGCAAUCCUUUGAAAUAAAGACAUGGCCAACAAUAACAGUAGAAACUAUGAAAUUGAGAUGAGCUUGUAAAGAUCCUUCUAUUACGCCAAAAUAUUAUGGACUCCUUUCAAUAUUUUUUCCUAAAAGCCCAACAAUUACCAUUAUACUAAGACCUAGUCUGGUUAUUGUCUGAGUUUGCAUUUCAAGGGUAUUUGAGUAACCUCCUAAUUAAAAAGCACAAAUCAGACCCCUUCACCAAGUGCAAGUGGAGCCCGGGCUCAGCUACUUUGAGUGUCUUUCAGAUGGGUUUUGGAAUCCUGGAGUGCAUAGAUUGCAUUUUAAAUGAUGUCAUUACACUGGCCCAAGGUGGCCUUGUGGUGGUCAUACAGGGGGUGGCAGGCCCAACCACACUCCUGGGGCCUUGGCGUGAGCUUGGACCGCAGCCUGCAUGAGGGAAUGCAAGGGCAAUCUGACACCAUUGUCGCUGCUCUCUUAGUACAAAAACUGGCACAUAUGGUAAAUGAUCCAAACCAGCAUUUUUUUCCCAGUCCUCUACACAGGAAGGAGAUUUGGAGCAAAACCGGAACAAAGGCCUGUCACGAUGAAGAAGAGCCCCAAGCUAAGCAGAACCCCGGCCACCUACAUCUUUCAUUUCCAUCCCCCUGCCUUGAAAGAGGGAAAUAUAAGAAAACAGGUAUGGGGGUGAGGUUUGAGGAUUUUCCUAAUAUUAAGGAGAGGAGGUUCCCUCUGGGCUGAUAUUAUUGCAGGGAUUAAUUACAGAGGUUUGAGGUCAGGGAACUAGUCACCAGUCCCUGGGACAAAUAGCAUCACUAUUGAAAUGACAAGGCUAACACACGACACAGACUCUGUUUCCCUUCAUCUUGCUCAUUCCUUCGGGAUCCUGAGGAUCAGACUGAAGAGUAUGGGCUGGGGAGGUGCCCUGGGUUUGGGCAUCUCGACCCCAAGGCACAGAGGGGACAGGCCACGCCAGCGACGGAGGGCGGCUGGGGCCACUCUGCAGAGCUUCUCGUCACUUCCUCAGUUUGCAGAGCCGGACAACCCUGCUGUAGGUCAGAAUGUGUGAGUUUCCAAAAUGAAGUUCUGUUUACAUGCUCCAUUAAUUUUAAAUAGUGGCCAAGUGUGCUUCGUGAAGGAUUCCGCUAUCUGGCCUGCACGUCCGGACGCUCGCUAUCUCCCCAAAUGCGUGUGGGUUCUUAGGUCCCUCGGGGUAGACAUCCCCUCUGCACAGAGGAGGCAGUGACUGCUAUUAAGUUUGAAUAUUUAGAUUUCUCACUUCAGUAAAUUUCAUCAGGGAAAGCUUAUUUUCAGGGGAUUAGAAAAUGUUGUUAGGCAUUGUCGGAGGACAGCCAUAGGAAACCAACAGUUUGGAUGAUGGUUUUUCAUUGCCUUUGGUGGUAUGAAGGGUUUAGCCAGCCAGACUGUAUGUUCACACUAUGAUCUGGGGCCCCUGCUCACCUCCAUGGCAGUGGACAACUGGCCAAGCCCCAAACAGAGAUUUGUCUCCCAAGCACACAGCACUGCCUUAAAUGAGGAAUAAUAAAGGGCAUGGAGGGCUUGGGGAAAACAUAUAUGUUAUUUAUGGGGCCAGGACAUAUCAAUGUGCAGUCUUCAUUGUGUUGACUUUUACAUUUCCAUGAAGACUAUGGCAGACAUAAGGAGCAUCUUAAUCAUUUCCAUUUCACUAUGGUUUUAAAGACAUAGAUUAUUUUGGAAGAGUUAAAACAUAAAAGCAUAAGGUGGAUGCUAUUUGUAUUAGUGACAGAAUUUAAUGCCUAAAUUAUUUAUAGUAUUAACAGAAUUUUUGUAUAUUGACCAACAUACUACACCUUUCUGUCUACUGUGCAUGUAUAAAUUUCUUUGGCAAUACCCCUAGGUGGCAGGGUAAUAUUAUGAUACUUUAGUUCUGAAGAUGCUCAACAUUCUAACCUUAAAAAGGGAGAGACAGAAAAUUAGUAAUAAUUUCUUGAAUCCUUAAUCUUGAAUUUGAACAUCUCCGAAAAUAGGAAGUAUAAAAAAUCAGUUGGUAGCUGGCCCUAAGCAGGUUUUAUCAUCAAUAUGGAACCACAUGUGUUUGAGUAUUCGAAAACUUGUCUGAAUAAAAAUAGGUUUUUCUUUUAUCUUAGUAAAGAGGAGGGAGAAGAGAGACCUUGGAGCCUGUUGCCCCAACACCUCGGUAAUCAGAAGCUCAUGUUUUGGAUUAUAAUUUCUUUCCAAAAUAUUCCAUAUCAUUUACUAAAACUGAUUAAACAAAACCCAACAAAACAAAAACAAAGCAAUAACUAGGACUUAGGGUAUGGAUGAUAGUUAACCUAUAUUUUAUUUUGCCAAAAUAACAUUUUAGAACAUGUGAAAUAUAUUCCACUGAAGGCGUGGCUUAAGAGUCCUCUGAAACCUUGCUCAUAUAAAUUGGUACAAUUAUGUAGGGAAGUCAUUGGACAUCUGGACAAAAAAACUCAAAAUAUUUAGGAACUUUGACCUCAUGCUUCCACUUCAUGAAUUGAUCCUAAGGAAGUUAAAUAUAAUAGCAACAAUAACUCUUAUGAACUUUGAUGCACAUUUAAAAUGAUAUAGAAUUUGUUAAUGAAAUAACCAGGUGUUCAUGUGGUGGAAUAAUAUAUAACCAUCAAAAUUUGGUUUACAAACAAUAUUUAAUAUACUGGGAAAUGUUUACCAUAGCAUUAAGUGAAAAAUUUGGAUUUGAAUUGCAAAAAUGUCAUUACAAUAAGAUAUUAAAAAUAAAAGUCUGGCAUAAAAAAAUCUCAAAAUAGUUACAGAAGUUUCCUCUAGAUAUUAUGGGUAAUUCUUCUAGAAUUAUGGGUAAUUUUUUUCAUUAAACUGUUCUAUAAUUUUUAAAUUUUCUCCAAAGAAUUAUAUAUUUUUGUUAUGUAACAACAAAAUAAUUUUAGUUCCUGUAUUUCUGUGACUAUGUCCAAACACAAAACAUAUUUAGAUAGAUGACUAAGAUGUGUAAAUAUAGUUUUAUAUAUGUGUUUGGUGUGAAUAGAAUGAGAAAAAUGUGCUGGUUAUUUCUAUAUUAAUAUUCAGAUUGAAGUAGAUCAUUGAACUUAUCUGAGCUUGUUAUCUAAUUUUUAAACAUCUAAAUAGAAUGAAAAUCAGUCAAGAUAAUCAUUGAGAUUUUAAAAUGAUAAAAUUUACAGAUUAAUAAUACUUUAUAAAUCUUCAAUAGAAGUGCCAAUUCAUAAAGCUUGAAUUCCUGUUCAUGAGAAUUAAAAAUUCAUAAAUGAGGUGUUUUCACAGUGUUCUCUUUCAUAAUCUUACAAAGCUAUGUACUUCUGCUUUAAUACAUUAUGUGCAACUUCAUGGCUAUUAAUGAAUAAAAAAUAGUCUUAAAUGUUCAUAUAUUUGCAAAAUGUCACAAAAUAUAUAUCCCUGUGUUGACUGAGACCCGUUUUUACGUGGUCUUCUUUCUCUCCUAGCAUUUUUAAAAAUAAUAUUUUUUAAAGAUUUUAUUUUUGAGUAAUGUCCACACCCAACAUGGACUCGAACUUAGAAUCCUGAGAUCAAGAGUUGCACACUGCACCGACUGAGCCCGCUAGGUGCCCCCUUUUUUUUUGAAGUAUUUAGAAGAUACCACAAGGGUCAGAGGUGAAGGAGCCUCAGGGGAAGCCCUCAACAUGGGCAAAUUAGGUAGUGUGUCCUUCAAUAACUAAGGCUCUCAGCUCAUAACUCCUGUUUUCCUUACCACCUACAUCUGUGAGACUUUGGUUUGCUAGUUUCACUGGUGUCUCUCACUCCCACCUACAACCUUUGCCGUAAUCAUUAAACUGGGUCUGCAUUUCUCUUUCACUCCCAUUUUGAGUUGUAUUUCUACUUUGUUAGAUAAUGUCCUUAAAGGUUUAUUAUACUUAUUUUAAUCUUAGAUUUAUAAUUAAAGCCAUUCAAUUCUCAUUAUCUCUUAUUUUGCCAAAGUUUUCCAAAUUUUAAUUGGAAAAUUUUUUGAUUUUCCAAUUAAAGCCAUUCAGUACUCAUUAUCUCUUAUUUUUCCAAAAUUUUGUUUUAGUUGGAUGAAGCUUGACCCCUACUAGAAUACUCAAAAAAAUUUUUGACUACAAAAUUUCUCAAGUUCUAGGAAGUUUAGAACUGAAAUCCUUGGGGUACUUGGAUGGCUCAGUCAGUUGAGCCUCUGACUCUUGAUUUCAGCUCAGGUCAUGAUCUCAGGGUUGUGUGAUCAAGCCCAAUAUUGGGGGGGGGGGUCCCUGCUCAGCAGGGGUCUGCUUGAGAUUCUCUCUCUCCCUCUCCCUCUACCCUUCCCCCCACUCACAUCCUCUCCCUCCCUCGCCCUCCCUCUCUCAAAUAAAUAAAUAAAUCUUUAAAAUAAAAAACCUUGAAAUCCUUGACUCACACUUUUAUUUUAUUGAGAUAUACUGGCAUACAGCAUUCUAUUAGUUUCAGUGUACAAAGUAAUGGUUGACAUCCAUCACUACUGGGGUUGUGAUGGAGAUGAGUGGGGAGUGUAAGGAAUCUACGGGAAGGGGAGAUAGAUCAUAAAUCUCUGGUUUGGGCAGCUGCCCCCAUGAGGCAGGACAAUGCAGGAAACCCCAGUGGUGAGAUUUGGAGAAGGGGAUAGCUUUGGUUCUGGGCAUGGGACUCAUCAGGUUAUCAGGUCAGGCAGGCAUCACUGGGGCAGUGCAGGAUGUGGGCUAUAUAAGGAGGGCCUGGGGUAGUGACAGAGGUUAGUGAGGAAGCAUCAAAGGAAGGAGUUGAAGCCAUAGAGGUGAGUAGGCACACUCAGAAACAGUGUGGGAGUAGGAAACAGGGGCCACCCAGGGCAGGACCUGAGGGACAUGGACUUUCAUAGGACAGCAGGAAUCAGAGCAGCAGGCACUCAAGGCAGCGGCUGUAUCGGUUGAACUAAUCUGAGGCACAAGACAGUCACAGAGAAGAAGGGAAGAAGAUGUUUGAAGAAGUAAGGAAUGGCUGACCAUAUCAAAGGCAGCUGAGAAGCCAGAUGAGUGAAGGAGUAAGAAGAGGUCAUAGAGUACUCCAAACAAGUCACUGAUUGAACAGUCCAUGAACUGCUGGAGAUGGACAAGUGAAUGAGAGAUAAAAGCAUUUAUAAU